rnacentral:rRNA from 1 species
AUUGAACGCUGGCGGCAGGCUUAACACAUGCAAGUCGAGCGGGGUGAUGGUGCUUGCACUAUCGCUUAGCGGCGGACGGGUGAGUAAUGCUUAGGAAUCUGCCUAUUAGUGGGGGACAACAUCUCGAAAGGGAUGCUAAUACCGCAUACGCCCUACGGGAGAAAGCAGGGGAUCACUUGUGACCUUGCGCUAAUAGAUGAGCCUAAGUCGGAUUAGCUAGUUGGUGGGGUAAAGGCCUACCAAGGCGACGAUCUGUAGCGGGUCUGAGAGGAUGAUCCGCCACACUGGGACUGAGACACGGCCCAGACUCCUACGGGAGGCAGCAGUGGGGAAUAUUGGACAAUGGGGGGAACCCUGAUCCAGCCAUGCCGCGUGUGUGAAGAAGGCCUUAUGGUUGUAAAGCACUUUAAGCGAGGAGGAGGCUCUUUUGGUUAAUACCCAAGAUGAGUGGACGUUACUCGCAGAAUAAGCACCGGCUAACUCUGUGCCAGCAGCCGCAGUAA